rnacentral:rRNA from 1 species
UACGAAGGGGGCUAGCGUUGCUCGGAAUCACUGGGCGUAAAGCGCACGUAGGCGGCUUCUUAAGUCAGGGGUGAAAUCCUGGAGCUCAACUCCAGAACUGCCUUUGAUACUGGGAAGCUCGAGUCCGGGAGAGGUGAGUGGAACUCCGAGUGUAGAGGUGAAAUUCGUAGAUAUUCGGAAGAACACCAGUGGCGAAGGCGGCUCACUGGCCCGGUACUGACGCUGAGGUGCGAAAGCGUGGGGAGCAAACAGG